UACGUAGGGUGCAAGCGUUAAUCGGAAUUACUGGGCGUAAAGCGUGCGCAGGCGGUUAUGCAAGACAGACGUGAAAUCCCUCGGCUCAACCGAGGAACUGCGUCUGAUACUGGAAGGCUUGAAUCCGGGAGAGGGAUGUGGAAUUCCAGGUGUAGCGGUGAAAUGCGUAGAUAUCUGGAGGAACACCGGUGGCGAAGGCGGCAUCCUGGACCGGUAUUGACGCUGAGGCGCGAAAGCUAGGGGAGCAAACGGG
rnacentral:rRNA from 1 species